GGGGAUGACUUGUGGAUAGCGGUGAAAUUCCAAUCGAGCCUGGAGAUAGCUGGUUCUCCCCGAAAUAGCUUUAGGGCUAGCCUCAAGCGUAGAGAAACGGAGGUAGAGCACUGAAUGUCCUAGGGGGUAUUGCACUUACCGAAGACUAUCAAACUCCGAAUGCCGUUUUCUUUUACUUGGGAGUCAGACUGUGGGUGAUAAGAUUCAUAGUCAAAAGGGCAACAGCCCAGAUCGUCAGCUAAGGUCCCUAAAUGUACGUUAAGUGGUAAAGGAUGUGGGAUUGCACAGACAACCAGGAUGUUGGCUUAGAAGCAGCCACUCAUUUAAAGAGUGCGUAAUAGCUCACUGGUCGAGUGAUCCUGCGCCGAAAAUUUCCGGGGCUAAAACGUACUACCGAAGCUACGGCAUCAUUUAUGAUGGGUAGGGGAGCUUCGUAUGCAGGCUGAAGCAUGACCGUAAGGACAUGUGGACAGUAUACGAGUGAGAAUGUUGGCAUGAGUAGCGAGACGUGGGUGAGAAUCCCACGGGCCGUAAACCCAAGGUUUCCAGGGGAAGGUUCGUCCGCCCUGGGUUAGUCGGGACCUAAGCCGAGGCCGAAAGGCGUAGGUGAUGGACAACAGGUUGAUAUUCCUGUACCGCCAAUAAGCGUUUGAGAGAUGGAGUGACACAGUAGGAUAAGCUAACCGUACUGUUGGUUAUGUACGGCUAAGCAUUGAGGCAGUCUAAAUAGGCAAAUCCGUUUAGGCAAUGCUAGGAUGUGAUGGGGAAGCCCUUCGGGGCGAAGUAGCUGAUUUCACACUGUCAAGAAAAGCUUCUAUCGAGUUUAAAGGCGCCCGUACCGUAAACCGACACAGGUGGGUGAGGAGAGUAUCCUAAGGCCAGCGAGAGAACUAUUGUUAAGGAACUCGGCAAAAUGACCCCGUAACUUAGGGAGAAGGGGUGCCUGUCUAUGACAGGCCGCAGAGAAUAGGCCCAAGCGACUGUUUACCAAAAACACAGGUUUCUGCUAAGUCGCAAGACGAUGUAUAGGAGCUGACGCCUGCCCGGUGCUGGAAGGUUAAGGGGAUCUGUUAGAGCAAUCGAAGCAGUGAACUUAAGCCCCAGUAAACGGCGGCCGUAACUAUAACGGUCCUAAGGUAGCGAAAUUCCUUGUCGGGUAAGUUCCGACCCGCACGAAAGGCGUAACGAUCUGGGCACUGUCUCAACGAGAGACUCGGUGAAAUUAUAAUACCCGUGAAGAUGCGGGUUACCCGCGACAGGACGGAAAGACCCCAUGGAGCUUUACUGUAGCUUGAUAUUGAGUAUUUGUUAAACAUGUACAGGAUAGGUAGGAGCCAGAGAAAGUAGGACGCUAGUCUUACCGGAGGCAAUGUUGGGAUACUACCCUUGUUUGAUGGAUCCUCUAACUCACAGAGCUGAGCGUUCUGGAGGACAGUGUCAGGUGGGCAGUUUGACUGGGGCGGUCGCCUCCUAAAGUGUAACGGAGGCGCCCAAAGGUUCCCUCAGAAUGGUUGGAAAUCAUUCGCAGAGUGUAAAGGCAUAAAGGAGCUUGACUGCGAGACCUACAAGUCGAGCAGGGACGAAAGUCGGGCUUAGUGAUCCGGUGGUUCCGUAUGGAAGGGCCAUCGCUCAACGGAUAAAAGCUACCCUGGGGAUAACAGGCUUAUCUCCCCCAAGAGUCCACAUCGACGGGGAGGUUUGGCACCUCGAUGUCGGCUCAUCGCAUCCUGGGGCUGUAGUCGGUCCCAAGGGUUGGGCUGUUCGCCCAUUAAAGCGGUACGCGAGCUGGGUUCAGAACGUCGUGAGACAGUUCGGUCCCUAUCCGUCGCGGGCGUAGGAAAUUUGAGAGGACCUGUCCUUAGUACGAGAGGACCGGGAUGGACAUACCGCUGGUGUACCAGUUGUUCCGCCAGGAGCAUCGCUGGGUAGCUAUGUAUGGAUGAGAUAAACGCUGAAAGCAUCUAAGCGUGAAACUCGCCUCAAGAUGAGAUUUCCCAUUCCUUAU
rnacentral:rRNA from 1 species